AUUGAACGCUGGCGGCAGGCCUAACACAUGCAAGUCGAGCGAGCGGCGGACGGGUGAGUAAUGUAUGGGGACUGCCCGAUAGAGGGGGAUAACUACUGGAAACGGUGGCUAAUACCGCAUACUAUCGGAUAACCAAUAUGGGAUUAGCUAGUAGGUGGGGUAAAGGCUCACCUAGGCGACGAUCUCUAGCUGGUCUGAGAGGAUGAACCGCCACACUGGGACCGAGACACGGCCCAGACUCCUCCGGAGGGCGCCGUGGGGAAUAUUGCACAAUGGGCGCAAGCCUGAUGCAGCCCUUCCGCGUGUAUGAAUAAGGCCUUAGGGUUGUAAAGUACUUUUCGCGGGGAAGCUUUACCCGCAGAAGAAGCACCGGCUAACUCCGUGCCAGCAGCCGCGGUAAUUC
rnacentral:rRNA from 1 species